rnacentral:rRNA from 1 species
UACGGGGGGGAGCAAGCGUUGUUCGGAUUUACUGGGCGUAAAGGGCGCGUAGGCGGCCACCGCAAGUCAAUUGUGAAAUCUCCGGGCUCAACCCGGAACGGUCAACUGAUACUGCGGGGCUAGAGUGCAGAAGGGGCAACUGGAAUUCUCGGUGUAGCGGUGAAAUGCGUAGAUAUCGGGAGGAACACCAAUUGCGAAGGCAGCUCGCUGGGACGUCGACUGACGCUGAGACGCGAAAAGCGUGGGGAGCAAACAGGG